CUCGCUCCUCGAGGCGUUGCAGCGCAGCUGUGUGUGCUGUGUCUGUGUCAUGAGGCUGCGUAGAGUAGCAGGGCGCUCUUAACUACACUUUGUACACAUAAUACCACAGUACAAAGAAUGAGUGACAGCCCCAACACA